UAGGGAAUCUUCGGCAAUGGGGGGAACCCUGACCGAGCAACGCCGCGUGAGUGAAGAAGGUUUUCGGAUCGUAAAGCUCUGUUGUUAAGGAAGAACGAGUGUGAGAAUGGAAAGUUCAUACUGUGACGGUACUUAACCAGAAAGGGACGGCUAACUACGUGCCAGCAGCCGCGGUAAUACGUAGGUCCCGAGCGUUGUCCGGAUUUAUUUGGCGUAAAGCGAGCGCAGGCGGUUAAUUAAGUCUGAUGUGAAAGCCGCCGGCUCAACCGGGGAGGGUCGUUGGAAACGGGUUGACUGGAGUGAAGAAGAGGAGAGUGGAAUUCCAGGGGUGGCGGUGAAAUGCGAGGGUAUAUGGAGGAACACCGGUGGCGAAGGCGACUCUCUGGUCUGUAACUGACGCUGAGGCUCGAAGGCGUGGGUAGCAAACAGG
rnacentral:rRNA from 1 species